rfam:Drosophila grimshawi strain TSC#15287-2541.00 scaffold_14978 genomic scaffold, whole genome shotgun sequence.
AAAUCGGUCCUUUUCAGGACCACAAAAUACUUUCAACAAAGAGAUUU